CGCCAGACUCCUACGGGAGGCAGCAGUGGGGAAUAUUGCACAAUGGGGGAAACCCUGAUGCAGCGACGCCGCGUGAGUGAAGAAGUAUUUCGGUAUGUAAAGCUCUAUCAGCAGGGAAGAAAAUGACGGUACCUGACUAAGAAGCCCCGGCUAACUACGUGCCAGCAGCCGCGGUAAUACGUAGGGGGCAAGCGUUAUCCGGAUUUACUGGGUGUAAAGGGAGCGUAGACGGCAUGGCAAGUCAGAUGUGAAAGCCCGGGGCUCAACCCCGGGACUGCAUUUGAAACUGUCAGGCUGGAGUGCAGGAGGGGCAGGCGGAAUUCCUGGUGUAGCGGUGAAAUGCGUAGAUAUCAGGAGGAACACCGGCGGCGAAGGCGGCCUGCUGGACCGCGACUGACGUUGAGGCUCGAAAGCGUGGGGAGCAAACAGGAUUAGAUACCCCUGUA
rnacentral:rRNA from 1 species